rfam:Triticum aestivum genome assembly, contig: Triticum_aestivum_CS42_TGACv1_scaffold_271595_3DS
AUGCUACUCCCUCCGUCGAAAAUUACUUGUCGCGGAAAUGAAUGAAAAUGGAUGUAUCUAUAACUAAAAUACGUCUAGAUACAUUCAUUUCUAUGACAAGUAUUUUCGGACGGAGGGAGUACAUC